AUGGAGGACCUACCGGAGGCUCUGCUGACUGAGAUUCUCAAGAGGAUAACCAGGAAUGAUCUCAAUUCUCUUUCCCUCGUGUCAAAGCAGCUCUACAAGAUAGAGGGGAAUCAAAGGGGUGCUAUCCGUGUUGGUUCCCAUCUUUGCAUUGCUACAGAAGCACUGACAUCAUUGUGCGCCCGGUUCCCAAAUCUGCAGAAAGUGGAAAUCGAUUACUCUGGUUGGAUACCUGGACAUGGAGAUCAGUUGGACAACAAAGGCCUUUCUGUGUUUUCAUCUCUCUGUUCCUCACUGGUUGACCUCACCUUAAGCUUCUGCUCAUGCAUUGAUGACUCUGGGCUUGCUUGUUUAGCGAAUUGCAAGAAAUUGGUGUCUCUCGGGCUCAACUCCACACCACAAAUAACGCCAGUUGGGCUUUUCUCGGUUGCAGUUGGUUGCACAAGUCUAUCUGCUCUCCACCUUAUUGGUUGUGAGAAAAUUGACAGUGUAGAGUGGCUGGAAUACCUUGGUAGGGAUGGACCAUUGGAAGAGCUUGUGGUGAAGAAUUGCAAAGGUAUCAAUCAUCAUGACUUCCUAAAGUUUGGUUCAGGAUGGAUGAAGCUCCAGAAGUUUGAGUUU
rnacentral:rRNA from 1 species